rnacentral:rRNA from 1 species
GAUGAACGCUAGCGGCAGGCUUAAUACAUGCAAGUCGAGGGGCAGCAGGUCCCGCAGCAAUGCGGGAUGCUGGCGACCGGCAAACGGGUGCGGAACACGUACAGAACCUUCCUUUAAGUGGGGAAUAGCCCAGGGAAACCCGGAUUAAUACCCCGUAACAUAAUGAAGUGGCAUCACUUUAUUAUUAUAGCAGCAAUGCGCUUGAAGAUGGCUGUGCGGCUGAUUAGGUAGUUGGCGGGGUAACGGCCCACCAAGCCUACGAUCAGUAACUGGUGUGAGAGCACGACCAGUCACACGGGCACUGAGACACGGGCCCGACUCCUACGGGAGGCAGCAGUAAGGAAUAUUGGGCAAUGGACGCAAGUCUGACCCAGCCAUGCCGCGUGGAGGAUGAAGGUCCUCUGGAUUGUAAACUUCUUUUAUCUGGGAAGAAAUCUAUUUUUUCUAAAGUAGUUGACGGUACCAGAUGAAUAAGCACCGGCUAACUCCGUGCCAGCAGCCGCAGUAA